rnacentral:rRNA from 1 species
AAUCCGGUUGAUCCUGCCGGACCUGACUGCUAUCGGAUUGAUACUAAGCCAUGCGAGUCAUUGUAGCAAUACAAGGCAGACGGCUCAGUAACGCGUAGUCAACCUACCCUAUGGACGGGAAUAACCUCGGGAAACUGAGUAUAAUGCCCGAUAGAACAUUAUGCCUGGAAUGGUUUAUGUUCCAAAUGAUUUAUCGCCGUAGGAUGGGACUGCGGCCUAUCAGUUUGUUGGUGAGGUAAUGGCCCACCAAGACUAUUACAGGUACGGGCUCUGAGAGGAGUAGCCCGGAGAUGGGUACUGAGACACGGACCCAGGCCCUAUGGGGCGCAGCAGGCGAGAAAACUUUGCAAUGUGCGAAAGCACGACAAGGUUAAUCCGAGUGGUUUCUGCUAAAGGAACCUUUUGUUAGUCCUAGAACCACUAACGAAUAAGGGGUGGGCAAGUUCUGGUGUCAGCCGCCGCGGUAAAACCAGCACCUCAA